AAAACAUAACAAGGUAAUUCAGCUGAGAGUAAAACAAAAAAAAAAAAAAAAGGAAUUUGGUGAGUCAGGAAAACUAAGUCAAUUGCUCCCCCCACCAAUCUACCCUUUUCCCUAACAGGAGAAAAAGAAAACAAAAAAAAAAGGAAGAAGCAAAGGAAACAAGCUAAUGGCCCCUCAGUAUAUAAGUCUGUAACUUGGCUAUGGAAAAGGCAGAAGGUGAGGUAAAGCAAAAAAGGGUACCUCCAAAAAGAGGGCAGAUCAAGGUUAGAAUCAUAUCCAUUAUAAUGGAGUCUGUUUUAAGAAUAGCAUCAAAAGUAGGUAGAAGAUUGCAAAGAAAGAAGAAUAAGGUGGCAUUUUCAGAGAACAAAUACAGCUUCCAAAAACCAGAUAGUCAUGGUGAUUCUUGAUUGAAGCUUUGCUUACCCUUUCCUGCAUUGUUGCCUGCAACUAGUGCUCUUCAAUGAGAAUUCUCAUGUAGCUGUCUCUUUCUUUUAAUUAUCAUCAACAUCAAUUCUAUCACUUUGAUGUACUCUCUUUCUCUCUUUAUCAGACAAUGCUUGGUAUCAAAUAAAAAAAACUCAUCUGCGUCA